CCGCCGGGCGGGCGGGGCUGGACAAAGCGGCGCGCGCCCUGCGCGAUGUUGUCUGAUUUCCUGAGCGUUGCGCUGCCCUCCGUCCCUUUGGUGGGGGCCGGCUGCGCCCCCACUGGGGGAGGGGCAAGGCCCUAUGCUGAGCUACCCGGGACUUGGGGGCUCCUUAGCUCUGGUCAGCCUUAUUGCGACCACAUGAGGGGCACUGAUGAAAGCUGGGUGGGAAAGAGGGGGGGAGUAGCUUUCACCCAUUGCGUCCCAAUUUUUUGUCAACAUUUGAACUUUAAACAAAAUUUAAAUGGCAAAAAAAAAAAAAAAAUCUGCUUCCCCACUUUUUUCCUCCCCAACACCUUUUCUCUCUCAAACUUUCAACCAGCAGUAGUUUUGCUGCCAUCCCCUCCCCCCGACUGCCAGGGAGCACUGUCCAUCUAACGUGGCACUCCUGGCAACCACACAAUUGCUGCUCAGCAAAGAGGUUCCCACCGUGGAUCCCUGCAGCAAGCACAGACUCCGCUCUUAUGUUCCAUCGUAAUUACUACACCCAGCUUCAGUUAAUAUAUCUGCCUUAAAAAAAAGUAGUUUUCUUCUGUUUUGUCCUAUUGUGAUAUUUUUGUGCGGGGGGGAAAUUGGAGCAAAAUUUGCUCAGCUGUUUUGAGCUAUCUGUCAGAAAUAAAUACUUUUAAAAAAAAAAUCAGAUUUUUGUAUGUAGAAACAGUUGGCUUUGAAAUAUCACUUUGGCAAACCUCUAUUCAUAGAUGAUAUGGUCAGAAGCGGCCGCAGUGGUUCUCUAGUCUGACCUGCAGAACAUAGGCUCUGAGAUUUCUCUGAAUUAAUUCUCUUUUGACUAAAUUAUAAUUUAUCAUAAAACAAUCUUAAUUUAAAAUUUUCCAGCAAUGGAGGUUCCACCACCACUCUUGCUAAGUUCUUGUAGUGGUUCCUCAGUGAAAUAGAAACAGGGUAUUACUAUUUACUUUGUAGGAGCUUGUAGAGAAUUAGGAAUCUGGGCCCCAUUGGGCACUGUGAGGUCUUGAAGGCCCCAAUCCCAUAAAUACUUUCACUUGUGUUUAACUUUAUUCAUAUGACUAGUCUCUGACAGUGGCACUAUUCUUGUGCGUAAGUGAUUGUAGGGUCAGGGCCUAUGUUUCCAUUUUUUUUAUUUUUUUUUUUGGUGCUGAAAGGGGUACAUCAAGUCAUGUAAGCCAUUUUGCUGCAUCACUUUGCAUACAAUUUCUGCUUUUGAGGGCAGAAACAUCCACUACUUCUACCCUUUGGGUUUCAGUGAAAAUAUUCCACAGAGCAGGGCUUUUUGUUUACCAUCAUAGACAAUUUAUUGUCACACAAAGGAAGCCCCAGAACAAACAUAUCCAGAACUGCUGCAGAUAUAAAUAUCUACUCAAAUUACAGAUCUGAACUAGCAGAGGGAAAAGUUAUAAACAGAAAGUCACGUAGUGUUGAUUUGAAGACUUCAAGAGAUGGAGAAUCCACCACUUCCUUUGGGUAAGGAGUCCUUUAGUACCUGGUAUUUUCUCCCCAUAAAGGAAUACUGGAAGUCAAUGUAAAGGCCUGAAGACUGAAGUGCCCUGGAAUUCUUGCUCAGUCACAAAGAACUAGGCCAAACUUUCAAGCAUGGGUCACUGAAGUUAGGUACCUAAGUGAAAGUGGCCUGAACUUCAGGACUGCUAAGCACUCACAGGUCUGACUGAAGAAUUGUGGGUGCCCAGGUACCUUUGAAAAUCAGAAUCUGUAUAAAUAAAAACAACAAAUCAAACCAGGAAAAAUAUGAGACAGACAAGGUGAGGCUCGUCAACCAUGGCAGGCAGUCCACCUAGGAGAAGAGAAUUCUGAUUGCAAACCAAGAACAGCAGGCCCUGGUCAGCUGGUUUGUAAAAGUUGUGCCACUCAUACACGCUUGAUGGGUCUUCACUGCCAAGUCCAGCGAACAGGACAAGGUGAAGCGGUGUCAAUGGUGUAGGGAUUCAGCCAGCAGAACUAGAGGGAGCCAGCAGAACUACAGUCUGACCUCCCCUCAUGAUGCCAGGACUCAUUGGUUAUGUCAAUGAGCCUCCCAGCCCAGGCCAGAGAGGAUUCCUCAGCAGACUGAUGGUGCAGCAGCAAAUUCAUUGGCCAUUUAAAAGCUUGAUAGCCUUUCAGUGAUUAAACCUUUCACUUUUACUGGUGAAAGUCAGCAAC